rnacentral:rRNA from 1 species
UGGGGAAUAUUGCACAAUGGAGGGAACUCUGAUGCAGCGACGCCGCGUGAACGAAGAAGGCUUUCGAGUCGUAAAGUUCUUUUAUAUGGGAAGAUAAUGACGGUACCAUAAGAAAAAGCCCCGGCUAACUACGUGCCAGCAGCCGCGAUAAUACGUAGGGGGCUAGCGUUGUCCGGAAUCACUGGGCGUAAAGGGUUCGCAGGCGGAAAUGCAAGUCAGGUGUAAAAGGCAGUAGCUUAACUACUGUAAGCAUUUGAAACUGCAUAUCUUGAGAAGAGUAGAGGUAAGUGGAAUUUUUAGUGUAGCGGUGAAAUGCGUAGAUAUUAAAAAGAAUACUGGUGGCGAAGGCGACUUACUGGGCUCAUUCUGACGCUGAGGAACGAAAGCGUGGGUAGCAAACAGG